UAAUUAAGUGGGGAAUAUACUGUAU
rnacentral:piRNA from 1 species